rnacentral:rRNA from 1 species
UACGUAGGGUGCGAGCGUUGUCCGGAAUUAUUGGGCGUAAAGGGCUCGUAGGCGGUUUGUCGCGUCGGGAGUGAAAUCCACUGGCUUAACUGGUGGCUUGCUUUCGAUACGGGCAGACUGGAGGUAUGCAGGGGAGAACGGAAUUCCUGGUGUAGCGGUGAAAUGCGCAGAGUAUCAGGAGGAACACCGGUGGCGAAGGCGGGUCUCUGGGCAGUAACUGACGCUGAGGAGCGAAAGCGUGGGGAGCGAACAGG